CUGGCUUGUGUGACCUCAGCCACACACACACACACACACACACAGAGACACACGACAGAGCCCAAAAUAGAACCAGAAGAUGAGUCAUGAUGUUCAGGAAGGAUUUCAAAACAAAUGGACCUAUUUACUUGUGCAUCUGUCUCCCGAAGCUGGUACUGUUUUACAAUGGUAUUAUUGAUUUGUUCUCAUUAUCUGCAUCUGAGAGGUCAUUUUAGUUCCAUUUCAUAAUGGAAAAAAAAAGAGCAAAAUGUCACCAUUUCCUGAAGACCAGCACUAUUCCCUCCUGACCUACUUCUUUGCUGCUUCAAAAAGCAUUGUGCAACUUGGAGUGGAAAUAGGAACACUGAACUAAUUAAAGUUAAAAGAAGAACAGCAAGAAUUAAACAAACAAAACCAAGACAAAUGCCUACAGAAUACAGGCUAAGAAAAGCCCAAAAAACCAAUUAAUACUAUAUUUCAUUCAAGCAAUGAAGAUAAAGGACACCAAGGUAACACUCUAAAAGAGUACUGCUUGGGAAAAACAGUAAAUGUCAAAUACAAAAUUAAAUGCUCC
rnacentral:lncRNA from 1 species